rnacentral:rRNA from 1 species
GGGACACGUGGUAUCCUGUCUGAAUAUGGGGGGACCAUCCUCCAAGGCUAAAUACUCCUGACUGACCGAUAGUGAACCAGUACCGUGAGGGAAAGGCGAAAAGAACCCCGGCGAGGGGAGUGAAAAAGAACCUGAAACCGUGUACGUACAAGCAGUGGGAGCACGCUUAGGCGUGUGACUGCGUACCUUUUGUAUAAUGGGUCAGCGACUUAUAUUCUGUAGCAAGGUUAACCGAAUAGGGGAGCCGAAGGGAAACCGAGUCUUAACUGGGCGUUAAGUUGCAGGGUAUAGACCCGAAACCCGGUGAUCUAGCCAUGGGCAGGUUGAAGGUUGGGUAACACUAACUGGAGGACCGAACCGACUAAUGUUGAAAAAUUAGCGGAUGACUUGUGGCUGGGGGUGAAAGGCCAAUCAAACCGGGAGAUAGCUGGUUCUCCCCGAAAGCUAUUUAGGUAGCGCCUCGUGAAUUCAUCUCCGGGGGUAGAGCACUGUUUCGGCAAGGGGGUCAUCCCGACUUACCAACCCGAUGCAAACUGCGAAUACCGGAGAAUGUUAUCACGGGAGACACACGGCGGGUGCUAACGUCCGUCGUGAAGAGGGAAACAACCCAGACCGCCAGCUAAGGUCCCAAAGUCAUGGUUAAGUGGGAAACGAUGUGGGAAGGCCCAGACAGCCAGGAUGUUGGCUUAGAAGCAGCCAUCAUUUAAAGAAAGCGUAAUAGCUCACUGGUCGAGUCGGCCUGCGCGGAAGAUGUAACGGGGCUAAACCAUGCACCGAAGCUGCGGCAGCGACGCUGAUGCGUUGUUGGGUAGGGGAGCGUUCUGUAAGCCUGCGAAGGUGUGCUGUGAGGCAUGCUGGAGGUAUCAGAAGUGCGAAUGCUGACAUAAGUAACGAUAAAGCGGGUGAAAAGCCCGCUCGCCGGAAGACCAAGGGUUCCUGUCCAACGUUAAUCGGGGCAGGGUGAGUCGACCCCUAAGGCGAGGCCGAAAGGCGUAGUCGAUGGGAAACAGGUUAAUAUUCCUGUACUUGGUGUUACUGCGAAGGGGGGACGGAGAAGGCUAUGUUGGCCGGGCGACGGUUGUCCCGGUUUAAGCGUGUAGGCUGGUUUUCCAGGCAAAUCCGGAAAAUCAAGGCUGAGGCGUGAUGACGAGGCACUACGGUGCUGAAGCAACAAAUGCCCUGCUUCCAGGAAAAGCCUCUAAGCAUCAGGUAACAUCAAAUCGUACCCCAAACCGACACAGGUGGUCAGGUAGAGAAUACCAAGGCGCUUGAGAGAACUCGGGUGAAGGAACUAGGCAAAAUGGUGCCGUAACUUCGGGAGAAGGCACGCUGAUAUGUAGGUGAAGUCCCUCGCGGAUGGAGCUG